rnacentral:rRNA from 1 species
AGCAAUAUGAAGGUCAGGCUGAAGACCUUACCCGAUUAGCUGAGAGGUGGUGCAUGGCCGUCGUCAGUUCGUACUGUGAAGCAUCCUGUUAAGUCAGGUAACGAGCGAGACCCACGUCCACAGUUGCCAGCAUACCCUCCGGGGUGAUGGGUACACUGUGGAGACCGCCGCUGCUAAAGCGGAGGAAGGAGUGGGCAACGGUAGGUCAGUAUGCCCCGAAUCUCCCGGGCUACACGCGGGCUACAAUGGUUGGUACAAUGGGCAUCUACCCCGAAAGGGGAAGGAAAUCUCUUAAAGCCAAUCGUAGUUCGGAUUGAGGGCUGCAACUCGCCCUCAUGAAGCUGGAAUCCGUAGUAAUCGCGUUUCAACAGAACGCGGUGAAUACGUCCCUGCUCCUU